GGUGGCACAACUACGUUUUCAGGCUAUAGAACAUAUCAAGACUCCUCAUUUUGGUUGUUCCCUUGCAGAUUCGCUCAAACGCGCGGAACUACGGUGCAUUUAUCGAUUGGAUACAUUUUUCCCACAUGGGUUGAAUGAAGACUGUGAUUUUAAUCCCUUCAGGUAAUAUGGUCAUAUACAAUUGGUUAAGUUGCUUACAUUUCCGGACUAUGUGCAUCAUUUUUCUUUUUUGUCUUAUUGGGUCCGCUUUUUGUGGUUCCUUUUUUUU